CGCCGCCUGCGCUCUCCCGCCUGCGCCCGAGCCCAUCUCAGAGGGCGCCUUCCUCCGGGUCCUGGCGUGCGGAGCCCGAAGCCGGGGGCUCUCUUUUCCCUCCAGCAAAGGGCAUUGUUUGCACCUCCACAGCCCCCGGCACUGUCGUGCACCGAAGUGCGCUCUGGGGACCCGAGGACGGUGUGGCCCUCCGUUGUGGAACCCAAACACGAUGUGGGUCGCGCUUCGCUUCUGGGCGUGGGGACAACUGAGUCAGCAGUUAGGACUGGACUCCCUCGCGGAGGACCGAGUGGGGAAGUGAAGCCACAGAAGCAGGAGUGCUACAAUGGUGGAUGGAAUCCAGAGAAAUCAGACCCUUCACAUUUACUUUUUUGCAGCUAUUUCAGAGAACCAGAUGGAAGAGAAACUGAGCAAGCAAAUGAAAGUCUCUGGGGAUCCUGAGAACUGAACGUUUGGGAAAAGCAUAUUCCAGACCAGAAGAUGGUCAUGACUGAAUGGAAAUUCUGUGUCCUGCAGAAAAGAAACCUCUAUUACCUAAAUAAGGUAAAGUACUGCCAUCUGCUGACAAGGAUUGAAAAACUAGUAUUCAAGAUCUAUUCUAUUUCAGAAAUGAAGCCUGUGGAGACUUCCAAGAGAUAGUAAGUAGCAACAAAUCAGCACCUUCCAGAUUCAGAAUCCAGACCCUGGAAAAUAGCAACUUGGGGAAGAAAAGAAGGAGCAAGGUGGAUCUCUGGGUCCCAAAAUGGAUACAAUGAAAAAAAUUGGAGACUACAUGGAAAUUGAACAGAUGGAACAUAAUGCAGAAAUAGGAACGGGCCAUCUACACUUUCAGCCUAGCUUGUGGCUGGUGGCUUGUGGCUCGUGAGAAAGAAAGAUGAAAUCUACAAAGACACACUGAAAAGAGGCAACUCUAGAGGUCUUCAGGGAAAAAUGCAGCAGCAGAAUUGACCAGUGAAUGCUGUGUGUUACAACAGCUGGCAAGUGACUGUAGUUCAAGCACCUGCCACAUACCCUGGAGAGAUGCCAUCCCAGGGAGGAACCAAGCAGCAACAAAUCACCAUCUUCAAGGGAACCUAGAAGUCAGAGCAGCAGUGAGUUGGCUUGAUUUCAUGUCUUCUACUCUGAUUUACACUCCCACUGUUACUUUGUGAGAGACAGUCAAGGUAGACAUCAGUGGUAAGGGAGCUGUGAUCAGACUAACAAGAACACUCAGUGUUUUAAACUUAGUAACCCUGGUCCCAUCCUCAUGACCAAGGGUCAGGUUCGACCAGAAUCUCCAUGGAUUUGAAAGACCCAGAAUCAGCACCCUCACCUUAAUUCUACUGCCUGCUUGCUAGUGACUAUAUGCAGCACAGACUUGGGCUCUGACUACCUUCUUUGUCUGCCAGUGGGAGGAGGGUUGCCUUGAACUGGCACUACCACAACACUAUGGACCCUGGAAGAUAACCACAGGCCUGAAAUCACAGAGAAAUGUUUUUCAUUUUGGCUUUCAUUUUUUCUAAAAUUUAUU